CAGUAGCCGCGGUAAUACGAAGGGUGCAAGCGUUAAUCGGAAUUACUGGGCGUAAAGCGUGCGUAGGCGGUGAGUUAAGUCUGCUGUGAAAUCCCCGGGCUCAACCUGGGAAUGGCAGUGGAUACUGGCUCGCUAGAGUGUGUCAGAGGAUGGUGGGAUUCCCGGUGUAGCGGUGAAAUGCGUAGAGAUCGGGAGGAACAUCAGUGGCGAAGGCGGCCAUCUGGGACAACACUGACGCUGAGGCACGAAAGCGUGGGGAGCAAACAGGAUUAGAUACCCCAGUAGUCCCUGUCUCUUAUAC
rnacentral:rRNA from 1 species